rnacentral:rRNA from 1 species
GAUGAACGCUAGCUACAGGCUUAACACAUGCAAGUCGAGGGACCGGCGCGCGGGUGAGGAACAGGUAACCAACCUCCCCGUUACUCGGGGAUAUCCUUACGGAAGAAAAAUACAUACCCAAUAGAAGGGAUGGGGAUGGGUUCCAUUAGGUUGUUGGUGAGGGACCGGCUAACCAAGCCUUCGUUGGAUAGGGGUGAUGAUAGGAAGGCCCCCUGUAUUGGAACCGAGACCCGGUCCCAACGCGUACGCGAGGCAGCAGUGUGGAAUAUUGGUCAAUGGGCGGUAGCCUGACCCAGCCAAGUAGCGUGAAGGAGGAAGGCUUUUGGGUCGUCUACUUCUGUUAUAUAAGAAUCUGUAUUCUAUGAAUAAGGAUCGGCUAACUCCGUGCCAGCAGCCGCGGUAAUAC